rfam:Apaloderma vittatum contig2054, whole genome shotgun sequence.
CCAAAGGCUCUUUUCAGAGCCACCCACAACAUCCUAAGAGAGCUC